rnacentral:ncRNA from 1 species
GAACGCCGUGUAAGGGGAAACCUUCACGCACGGUGUGGGACGGGGGAAAAGAUGGAGAUAACAUCAAAGUCUUACCUAUCGUUAU